UGUCCCCAGGGGUGAUUUCCCUCCUGUUACCACUGGGUUUUUUUUACCUGUGGAAACGUUUACAAGACCAAGAGUUAUUUUCCCAUUAUGUAUUGUGAAGAGCAUCAUUUCCUGAAUGCAUUAGUACAAAGAAAUAGUUGGAAAGGCGGCCAGGUUUGAAAAUUCAAGCCCAUCCAAGGUAAGAAUUUAUAGAAAAAUACUUAUUGGUGUUCUAUCCUGUUACAGCCUUUUCUUACACUUUCUGAGAAUAUUUUUAAGUGUGCACCACAGCAUUAAGUGUGUUUUUAUAUCAUCUUUUUAAAAGUUAUAUGUCACAGGAAAUACACUUACAUUUAAUGUGAUAAAAAGGACAAAAACUAUCGCGUAAUUCCUUUCUGUUACGUUCUGUCAUGUUACCUGAUAAAAAGUAACAGCAUAACCAUCAUCAGUAACAGGAAGGAUGUUCAAGACAAUUUUACUGAAGAAUCGAAAAGUUAAUCUACUAUAUGCCAACCAUUUCAUUUAAUAUAAGUUAUCACCACCA
rnacentral:lncRNA from 1 species